rnacentral:rRNA from 1 species
UACGAAGGGUGCUAGCGUUGUUCGGAAUCACUGGGCGUAAAGCGCACGUAGGCGGCUUUCUAAGUCAGGGGUGAAAUCCUGGAGCUCAACUCCAGAACUGCCUUUGAUACUGGCGACCUUGAGUUCGGGAGAGGUGAGUGGAACUGCGAGUGUAGAGGUGAAAUUCGUAGAUAUUCGCAAGAACACCAGUGGCGAAGGCGGCUCACUGGCCCGAUACUGGCGCUGAGGUGCGAAAGCGUGGGGGAGCAAACAGG